GGAUGCUCUGAAGACCUGCUCUCUAGGCUACGUACGGAGGACGUGCCGUUCCUCGUGGGCCUCAGGCCCGCCUAGGGGAAAGUCCCCGGACGGCGGGCAGAGAGUGCCGCGCGCCACCGGCGCGCGCGCCCGCUCCGCGCCUCACGCAGCGCCGCCAAGACGCCCGCCGGGGCCGAGCGGGUGAGCGGGAGGCGGGCCCUCGUCACGGCCACAGGCACGCAGGUAGUGCGCAGGCGCGCCGGGCGCGGGCCGCCGCACCAACACAACGGGGCUCACUCUCAGGCCAUC
rnacentral:RNase_MRP_RNA from 1 species